rnacentral:rRNA from 1 species
AUUGAACGCUGGCGGCAUGCUUUACACAUGCAAGUCGAACGGUAACAGGCCGCAAGGUGCUGACGAGUGGCGAACGGGUGAGUAAUGCAUCGGAACGUGCCCAGUCGUGGGGGAUAACUACUCGAAAGAGUAGCUAAUACCGCAUACGAUCUAUGGAUGAAAGCGGGGGACCGUAAGGCCCCGCGCGAUUGGAGCGGCCGAUGUCAGAUUAGGUAGUUGGUGGGGUAAAGGCUCACCAAGCCAACGAUCUGUAGCUGGUCUGAGAGGACGACCAGCCACACUGGGACUGAGACACGGCCCAGACUCCUACGGGAGGCAGCAGUGGGGAAUUUUGGACAAUGGGCGCAAGCCUGAUCCAGCAAUGCCGCGUGCAGGAAGAGGGCCUUCGGGUUGUAAACUGCUUUUGUACGGAACGAAACGGCUCUGGUUAAUACCCGGGGCUAAUGACGGUACCGUAAGAAUAAGCACCGGCUAACUACGUG